GUGAGUCAUCGAAUCUUUGAACGCACAUUGCGCCCGCCAGUAUUCUGGCGGGCAUGCCUGUUCGAGCGUCAUUUCAACCCUCAAGCCCCAGCGGCUUGGUGUUGGGGACCGGCGAGCGAAGCCCCUCCGGGGGGUUCACGCCGCCCCCGAAAUGAAUUGGCGGUCUCGUCGCGGCCUCCUCUGCGUAGUAGCACAACCUCGCAACAGGAGCGCGGCGCGGCCACUGCCGUAAAACGCCCAAACUUUUUUUAGAGUUGACCUCGAAUCAGGUAGGAAUACCCGCUGAACUUAAGCAUAUCAAUAAGCGGAGGA
rnacentral:misc_RNA from 1 species